rnacentral:miRNA from 1 species
CUCUCGGCAUGGUGCGGCGGGGCAGCUGGUGUUGUGAAUCAGGCCGUUGCCAAUCAGAGAACGGCUACUUCACAACACCAGGGUCUCACCCCACCACA